CCCUUAGAUGUUCUGGGCUGCACACGCGCUACACUGAAGGGAUCAGCGUGUUCUUUUCCUGGUCCGAAAGGAUCGGGUAACCCGCUGAACCCCCUUCGUGGUAGGGAUCGGAGCUUGCAAUUAUUCUCCGUGAACCAGGAAUUCCCAGUAAGCGCAAGUCAUAAGCUUGCGUUGAUUACGUCCCUGCCCUUUGUACACACCGCCCGUCGCUACUACCGAUUGGACGUUUUAGUGAGGAUUUUGGACUGAGCCAAUGGUGGUUCACACCACUGUUGUGCAUGGAAAGAUCUCCAAACUGGAGCGUUUAGAGGAAGUAAAAGUCGUAACA
rnacentral:rRNA from 1 species